GCCAGGCAUGAUGGCACAUGCCUGUAAUCCCAGCUACUCGGGAGGCUGAGGCAGGAGAAUCGCUUGAACCCGGGAAGCAGAGGUUGCAGUGAGCUGAGAUAGUGCCACUGCACUCCAGCCUGGGCAACAGAGUGAGACUCUGCCUCAA
rfam:Pan troglodytes isolate Yerkes chimp pedigree #C0471 (Clint) chromosome 4, whole genome shotgun sequence.